rnacentral:misc_RNA from 1 species
GAUGAAGAACGUAGCGAAAUGCGAUACGUAAUGUGAAUUGCAGAAUUCAGUGAAUCAUCGAAUCUUUGAACGCACAUUGCGCCCCCUGGUAUUCCGGGGGGCAUGCCUGUCCGAGCGUCAUUACAACCCUCAAGCUCAGCUUGGUGUUGGGCCCCGCCGCCCCGGCGGGCCCUAAAGUCAGUGGCGGUGCCGUCCGGCUCCGAGCGUAGUAAUUCUUCUCGCUCUGGAGGUCCGGUCGUGUGCUCGCCAGCAACCCCCAAUUUUUUUCAGGUUGACCUCGGAUCAGGUAGGGAUACCCGCUGAACUUAAGCAUAUCAAUAGGCGGAGGA